UUAGUAUACUAACGUUAAUAUUUCCUUUUAAUGAAGUAUCUAAGAAUUUUCCGAAAGAAAUGUACUACAAUUGAAAGGAGCACAAUGCAUCCCAUUGGUUGGAAAGAGCUUGGACUAGUUGACUUACUUGUUGGCGCUGAUGAGACCAUUUUUGAGCCAUAGGGCACUCAGUUUCUAUUGAUGCUGCUAAAGUCUGAAGGUCCUUAGAAUUUGCAUGCCACUCCUGAGCAGUAGUAUCUGCCAAAUUCUUAUUAGAAUAAGCCUCCUGCUUUAAAAUAUCAAUCUCCUCAUAAAGCAUGUUAAUCUGGCCCUGUAGCUUAAGAAUUCUAUUCCUCAGCUCUUGGUCUCUCUCUCUGGCUGCCUUGAUCUUCUCUGUCAACUCUCUAGCUCUAGUAGUCUUGGAAACAAAGUUGUCCAAGUGAUUAGUCAGAGAGGUUAGCUCAAGCUGAUAGGCAGAGUAGGAAGUGAUCAACUGGGGAAUCUCUAUCUGCAGCUUGUCCAACCUCUCUCGGACCUCCAAUGUAUGAGAUGGACUUCUAAGUAGGAUUUUGAUGGCUCCUAAUGCCACAUCUCUUUGUUCUACACUCAGGUCAGGAAGUUUUAUUGUUAGAAUCUCCAUCAGCUUGGUCUUUGCAGGCUCAACUUCCUCUGGGCUAGAAGGCUCUUCUAAUGAAGUAAAGGAUGGCACAACAGAAGUAAGAUCCAAAAAGGACAAGUCCAAUGACUCUAGAGGAUUGUUGAAUUGCUCCAAACUAGCAUCCUCUAGAAUGCAGAAGAAAGGGGCCACUUGAAGAAGAAGCCUCACAUUCAAGGGAUGGAGCAAGGCUUUUGAAGACACAGCUUUGAGCAUCAACUGUAUUGAAUGAGUGAUUGUAAGAGGUUGAGUUAAGGAAAUGAUGAUCCACAACAGUAUCCAUGAAAAGGGUCUCCUCUUGGGCCUCAUGAUCUUCACUAUAUCCACUCUCAACCUCAUCCUCUUCUUCUAUGCUCUCGUCCUUUCUCAACUUGUUGGAUAUACACAUUUGGUUACUAGAGGAUUGUUGAGUUCCUUGAGUGGUAAGGAUCUUAUCUUUCCCUUUGUUUUGCUCCUUGGAAUGUGGAGAAGAGACGAUAACCUGUCGUUCUGUUCCUUCCGCAUCAAAUCUGCGCUUUCCAUUGUCUUUCUCAUCAUUGUGAUAGUCAUCAAGAUCUCUUCCAAUACUAGUGCCUU
rnacentral:misc_RNA from 1 species